UUCAUAAACUUAACCUUAUCUUCUCUGUAUCUCCGCCUAGGCUCACUCACCCUCCCAUUCUCCUUUGCAGAAACCUAAACCAGAUCUAUAACUUCAUUUUUCAUCCAUGGAUUUAAGCCAUGCCAAUCUAAUAAUUAUCUUCUUUCGUCAAAGAUUUCUUGGUCAAGAUGAAAAUGGCAACAGUAUCAGGGUCUUUUGAUUUGGGAGAUUGUGAGGAGGAACAAUAGUUUAGGCAAAGAGUUUGGAAAUGGAGGUCGAAUGGUUUAGUUCUGUAAAUAACCUAACAAUCUCUACAGCGUUAUCUCUUUAAGCACUCUGGGUUAACAAACUCAAAACACUAUUUCAGUUCAAGCUGAUGGAAUAGAGCGAUGUGUUGAUCAAACAUCUAGUGGAAGCAAUUUCUCACCACUUGCUAUAUGCAGGAUCAACAGAGAAUCAAAGAGAAGUUGUUCCUUCCAUGAAUUCCAGUUAAAAUCCAUGUUGGUGGUAAUCCUUACAUGUUUUGGGGUGCAGAAUAGGAAGGUGUCUGGAAUGGGGUUUUAUUUGGGAAACCAAGCAAAGGUGUGAUCUUCUUUUUGGUUUUAAUUCACAGGGAUUGCUGCUUCCACUGGAUAUAAAGCUAUGAUAUAGUAAACCCAUUACUAUUUUGGGUUUUGGGUUAUCACUAUUCUAGUUUGCAAAUGUUGGUUGCUUCAGUUCUUUGGAAGAUCAUUCUCGGUACAUUCAGUUGCACAUACCAGUACAUCAUCCAACUCAUCUGGGUGAGCUUAAACGGCUUCCAAGUAUCAUCUGCUUGAAAUGCUUGCAUAUGAAGAAGGGGGAGAGAUUAUUGGCAAAAUAGGUUGUGAAAUGAUUUUCUUCACAGUGAAAUUAUGUUGUCGUACAUUCUAUGCAGCUAGAGUAUAUAUUGUAUUGCUUAAUCUUGUUUAUGGAAGGUCUAAAGGUUAAUUGAUAACUAAAGGGUUCAAGGAGGGGCUGUUGUUGUGUCACUUUCUUUAUCGAGGACAAGUUAAGGACAGCCUCAAACAUGGGGGGCUGCAGGAUUGUUCCGUGUAGAGCUGGUGUUGGUUGAUGCUCUCACGAGGGAGCACACAACUUAACAGGCAGAUGAGCGGAACAAAAAGAAAGCAAGUGGUGUCUCGGACAUUGAUGAUGGAUGCUAUGCAAAGCGCAUUGCUCUCCAGAGCUGAAAAACCAGAGAUUUGGAACGCCAUCAAGUUUGGAACUGUGUUGGAAUUGGGGUUUUCGAGGAGCAUACUCAUCAAGUGGAUUGCAAGCAACUUAGAAUCAUAUUUCCGUUGUAAUAUCUAUAGUAUCCAUGAUAACAGCUUGUUUACAUAUUCUUAGUUAAGUGUUCAAUCACACACAUGCCUUGGGAACUAGUCUCUCUAAACUUUGAUUUAGGCUCCUAUGUGAAUUUCACAUUUUAGAAAGCCCUUGCUCUAUCGUAAUCAUCUUAUUACUUGCUACGAUGGCUGCAUCUUCAUAAGAUUAUUUUGUUAAUCAUUUAUUUGAUUAAGUUCUCAAAUACUAUUCAGCAAGGAUACAUUUUGUUAAUUAGAACUUAGAAGUCUCCAGCCACAAAAGCUACUAAUCAUUACGUAUUCUUCAUUUUGUGCAUGUCAACUAUUGGGGUUUUAUCAACUAUUAGAAAUUAGCUGCUCGUGUUAUUAUUUUUGUUAAAAAUUUCUACAUUACAUAAAUAAAGAAAUGCUGAUACACAGUUAAUUCCUUGGUUGCAGAACCUUUGUGUUCCUACACACAGUCCAAUAACAGAUAUUCUGGAAACGGAGAAGUGAUUUACUGUUAGCUUUUCGAACCACUGACAGGAGAAGGCUGCAGCAUAAGCAGCUGGAAAAUCCCCUUCCACACUAAGUGUGAGUCCCGUCAUUUGGCCAGUAAACAUGGAAAACUUCUCAUGAGAAGUGUAACGAACUUAAUGGUGAAGGUGGUUGCAGAAGGACAAAGCCUCUUAGCUACACUGCAGGAAGCGUGCAAAGAGCUUCAUUUGUUGAUUUGGAGUUCUCUCAUUGCCGCACUUAAGCAUUUGUGUGGACUCAUGCACAGCUUGUGAGUUUCCUGAGUUGGACUAGGUUUGAAGGCUUCGCUUCCCUUCCUGGACCCUGCAAAACACAUACAUACCAAAGGAACAUAUGGAAAGGGAUGGAAAGGAACAGCUGGACUAUGAAUGGUCAGAGCUUAGUGAGUACAAACCCAGACCCUGACUUUCAGCUGCCUAGGUCCCGUGUGUCCUUGAUGUUGUAGUAUUUUGGUCAGUUUUUCUUUUUAAUGCACAAUGACGUUCCAAGUUUUUUGUUGUCUUAUUUAUUGGUUAACCAGAAGAGAUGGAUGGAUUUUGUAGUUGACUUUGUUGUAUUAUUUUCAGAAUACAAUCCAUCUGUUUUUGCAUGAUA